rnacentral:rRNA from 1 species
AUUGAACGCUGGCGGCAGGCCUAACACAUGCAAGUCGAGCGCGAAAAUUCCUUCGGGGAUGAGUAGAGCGGCGGACGGGUGAGUAAUGCGCAGAAAUCUGCCCAGUAGUGGGGGACAACCUGGUGAAAACCAGGCUAAUACCGCAUACGCCCUACGGGGAAAGGACAGGGAGUCUUCGGACCUUGCGCUAUUGGAUGAGUCUGCGUCGGAUUAGCUUGUUGGUGAGGUAAUGGCUCACCAAGGCGACGAUCCGUAGCUGGUCUGAGAGGAUGAUCAGCCACACUGGGACUGAGACACGGCCCAGACUCCUACGGGAGGCAGCAGUGGGGAAUAUUGGACAAUGGGCGAAAGCCUGAUCCAGCCAUGCCGCGUGUGUGAAGAAGGCUCUAGGGUUGUAAAGCACUUUAGUUGGGGAAGAAAGGUUGUGUAUUAAUACUGCAUGACUGUGACAUUACCCAAAGAAUAAGCACCGGCUAACU